GUUUUUGACCGGUCGCGGUGACGUUGUGUUUUUAUAGUAUCUCUCGAGUGUUAAUCGCGCGUUUCAUCGUCGUGCUGAAUACUAGUAUCUGGCGUUGUAUAUCCACAUUAUCGUAGGUGGAAAUUUGAUUUUGUGAAUGCGGAAAAGUGGAUUUGGCGACUAAAUUUUUAUAUACAUGUGUGCAUCUAGAGCUGUGCAUACGCGAGUGGAAAUUAUCUAUUUCUAAUUUGAAUUGGUGAAAUGGAAAUGUGAAAAAAUCUCGGAAUUCAUACUCACAUGUCAGUGAUUGCUCAUUGCAUAUUUUGGUCGGCUGGUGUAUUGCGUUUGUAUUGCUGAGUGCGGUUGUAGUGAAAACGCAGUUAAUUAAAAGACAUUCUGAAAACGUUUGUGCAAAAAAAUAAAAAAUAAUAAAUCAAAAUCAGAAAAAGUUUUACAAAAUUGGCAAAAUCGUAACUUACAAAAAAAAAUAUUAUAAAUAAAAACCACUGAUUCGAUAACAAAGCAGUUACACCAUCGCCAACACUUACAUAUUUUAUUCGCUCAGAAGCCUUUCAGUGAUGCUGUAGUGAAAAUAUAAAUAGCAAACAGAUAUAUAUGCACCAACCUACACCACAACAACAACAACAGCAAACAAAAAAAAAACGCAGAAAAAACCGCCUGUGGGAAGAACAGGACAGACACCAAACAAAAAAGGGGUUUCAUUAUCUGGGCAGCGUGUUGAGGCGUAAUACAAGUUUCGGUGACGCGACGCGAAAUUUUGCGACACACAGCACAGCUACAGCUACAGCUAUAGCAACAACAACAACAGCAGCAAUAAAAAGCGCAUAAACUCAGCUUAAGUUGCAAGUACUCGUACUCACCUGCUUGUGCCGUUGCACGUCUCGCCACUUGAACCCACUUCGCGGCAGACUUUGCGGCGUAGACAAAAGUAAUUUGCGUUGCUCGGCCAGUUCUCGUCGCGGUUAAAGAACCCACAGCAAUACAUACCACCUAUACGAGUACUUCAACGCCAGACACGAUUUGGUAAGUUGCAAGUUAGUGAAGAAUAAAGUGCAAUCGCUGUGGUAAAAGACGAAGAAGGCGAAGAGCGUAGUUUAACGCUGGUAAGCUGAUAGUCGAGGCUUGAACUAGACAAGUUGCUUUGGUCGCCGCUGGCGUUGCUAGACGACAGGCUGGUAGACAAACAAGCUGAUAGGCAGCCAGUAAAGGCGAGUGUAAUCGUACUUUGUUUUCAAGCGGUUGGCGUCGCAAACUUGUUGUCCACGGACGCGUAGGUAGGUAUCACUACGUGCCGCUGGAGUAAUAAUAUAAAACAGCGACAGCAACAGCGCAACCACAAUAAUAACAGCCGCAGCUGAAGGAGCAACAAAACAGCAGGAAAUUACAGCGUAAUUGGUGUACGUGUCGAAGAGUUUAUUGCGGUCUCUUCAAACUCCUAUUGGU
rnacentral:lncRNA from 1 species